UACGUAGGGUGCAAGCGUUGUCCGGAAUUAUUGGGCGUAAAGAGCUCGUAGGCGGUUUGUCGCGUCUGCUGUGAAAACCCGAGGCUCAACCUCGGGCCUGCAGUGGGUACGGGCAGACUAGAGUGCGGUAGGGGAGAUUGGAAUUCCUGGUGUAGCGGUGAAAUGCGUAGAUAUCGAGAGGAACACCUGCGGCGAAGGCGGGUUGCUGGGCUGACACUGACGCUGAGGCGCGAAAGCUAGGGGAGCGAACGGG
rnacentral:rRNA from 1 species